rnacentral:rRNA from 1 species
GACGUAGGGCGCGAGCGUUGUCCGGAUUUAUUGGGCGUAAAGAGCUCGUAGGCGGCUUGUCGCGUCGACUGUGAAAGCCCGGGGCUUAACCCCGGGUCUGCAGUCGAUACGGGCAGGCUAGAGUGUGGUAGGGGAGAUCGGAAUUCCUGGUGUAGCGGUGAAAUGCGCAGAUAUCAGGAGGAACACCGGUGGCGAAGGCGGAUCUCUGGGCCAUUACUGACGCUGAGGAGCGAAAGCGUGGGGAGCGAACAGG